rnacentral:lncRNA from 1 species
UGUGUUCACCUUUUCACCAGCAUCCACUUCUGUGUGAUAACCCACCAAGCAGCUUGGGGAUCAUCUCUCUGAAAGAAGAUUGCUUUGGGAUGGCCCAAGGAACAUAUAUAGGACAUUGAGGAGAUAUAGUUUUAGCUGUACUGCAUUAUCAGAAGUAUGAUUUAUGAGCAGGUGUCUAUACAGAUGCUCAAGCUGGGUACCAUGAGCAGUGCAGACACAGGGUCUCAAGGGGCAAUACAAUAUCUUUAGUCACUCAGAAUCCUAUUGCAGACUCUGCAUAUGUUGAUACUUCAAGGAGCUGAGUCAGGAACUGUGGGAUAGGUGUCCAGAGGGCAGUGCAACUACCACAGCUACUAGAGUGCUGUGUGUGUGGCUGCAGGGCAGGACUGAAACAGGAUGGUCUGUGUGACUGCACUGCACCAUUACUUUUUCCACUAAGGCGAUCCACUGAUUUGAUUACCAAUGGUGCAUUUCUCUAGUUUUGUACCUAUCCUUCAAAGUCAGGCUGGACAGGUUUGUCAAUUCAGUACCUUUCGUGGACGCUAAAAAUAAUUCAAGUUAUAACCCAGGCAGGGCGCAGAAUUUUGCUGAUGUAUUGAGAGUCACUUGCAGAACAUUGCAGCAUUCACAUGUAUUUUUCAUGACUUCAGGUAUUGUAAGAGAUAUGUCUCACUGCAAUAGGGUGAGUUGUUCUAUUUUCCUCAGAAUUGCCAUGAGACUCUUUACUUUGACCAUUGUUUUCUAGUUUGUCCCAGAACAAUUUUUCAUUGUUAUAAUGUCAGAUUUCAUUUUUAUGCCGGUGAUACAGUUAUGACUGUCUUUGAAAUCCAACUUCUCUGGGUCUUUUCUUGUCUUGCAGGCAUUAAUGUUUCGAAAUCGCAUGUCGCUAAAUGUUGCCAAAAUGGAGCUCCUGGUGAUUGUCUCCUUAAAUUUACUGAGAAAUGCCAGUCAUAUUCUUCUGGCCUUUGGUGACCUUCAGUUCUAUUUCAAACAGCUCCAUCUUUUUUCUGGAAAGAUUUCCCUUCUUCCCCCUCUAAGAAAUGCUGCCAGAUGAGAAUGCAGAAAUGAAACGUGAUGAAAAUUUGAUUUUCAAAUGCAGAUCACAGAUUGUGCCUGGUUCUGCAAGACUCUGUUCUGGAAAAUGAUUGCUGCUUCUCUUUAGGGGAAUAACUGCAGGGCUUGUGUAAGAGUAUGGACAAGCUGUUCAGUAACAACCAUCCUCAACCUUUGCCUAAAACUCAAACAAAGCCUGACCUGAACAGUUCUGGUGAUCUGUGAAUGAGUUUCCUUACAUGGUUUAAAAAACU